GGAGUGACCCAAAAGCUCACUAAAAGGGCAUGUUGGCUUCUCCUCAGAGGGCGUUGCUGCUACGGUACAGCAAUGGAAUUUGUUUCUGAGCUGAGAUCACUCCCGUAAUUUACAUCCCAACUCUUCUGAUACAGAAAAGCCUAGAAGGAAGUUGGUGUGAAAUAAAAAUAGUUUGAUUGGUAGAAUCAAAUUAUAAUCUCUGUAUAAAGGCUAAACAUUUGCAUGGGGGAAAUGUUGCUUGAAAUAGGAUACAAAGGAAUGUCCACCAAUAGAGAAAUUAUUAAAUGUUAUAAUAACCUGUAGGGUAGACUAUUAGGUAGUUAUUAAAAAUCAUGUUUUUCAAGUUUUAGAAAAAUUUU
rnacentral:lncRNA from 10 species